AGUCAUCAUUGCCACCAAUGGUCUGGGUCAUUGGCUGUGCACACACAUCCACAGACAGUACAACAACAGCCUCUAGUCCCUUGUUGCUGACCUUUGGGAAGCUGGGCAUGUAAGGCCAUACAUGAUCUACAGUGUACUUGUAGAGGUCAGAGGACAACUUGCAGGAGUCAUUUCUCUGCUUCCACAAUGUGAGUCCUGGGGAUCCAACUGAAGUCAUCAGAAGCAGUACUCGGGCUUCUAUUACACUUUAAUACGAUCUACAUAUAAGAACAGGGGAGAAAACAGUGAACUUUCCAUGCAGAACCAACUCCUGGAGAAGAACCAAAUGUGGUGUGGUCUGGUCAGCCUGUUACCUGAGCAAGAGUGACAAGAUCAUGUGGGACUCACCAGGUCAGUCAUUUCCUUUUCUCUUCCCAUCCGUGUGACCAGCAGCAGGUCUGUGAUGCCUUGUAGGAACACAUCCUGUUGAGCAGGUAG